UAAUAAUACAGGAGCAGUGUGAGUAAGCUGAGUCAAUUUAUAAAGAUGUUUACAAUGACCAAAGUUGUAGUGCUUGCUGUUUUUUGUGGUGCAUGUUUUGGAAUGGAAAAUUACAAUGUUAAUGAAGACUUCGAUAUGGAAGCAUUGGUAAACGAUAAGGCCAGCUUUAACGUCGCAGUCGAAUGUUUCUUGGAUAAAGCACCGUGUGGUGAAUUUCAGAGUUAUAAAGAUAUAGCACUAGAUUCAGUAGAAACAAGUUGUGAUAAAUGCAGCCCUGCAGUGAAGCAUUUGGCUCAUACGUUUCUGCACGGUCU